GGACACGUAGCUCAAGUGGCAAGAGCACCGCGUUUUGUGCGGAUGGACGGGUUCGAUUCCCGUCGUGUCCA
rnacentral:tRNA from 1 species